rnacentral:rRNA from 1 species
CCUACGGGUGGCAGCAGUGAGGAAUAUUGGUCAAUGGACGAGAGUCUGAACCAGCCAAGUAGCGUGAAGGAUGACUGCCCUAUGGGUUGUAAACUUCUUUUACAUGGGAAUAAAACGUUCCACGUGUGGGAUUUUGUAUGUACCAUAUGAAUAAGGAUCGGCUAACUCCGUGCCAGCAGCCGCGGUAAUACGGAGGAUCCGAGCGUUAUCCGGAUUUAUUGGGUUUAAAGGGAGCGUAGGUGGAUUGUUAAGUCAGUUGUGAAAGUUUGCGGCUCAACCGUAAAAUUGCAGUUGAAACUGGCAGUCUUGAGUACAGUAGAGGUGGGCGGAAUUCGUGGUGUAGCGGUGAAAUGCUUAGAUAUCACGAAGAACUCCGAUUGCGAAGGCAGUUCACUGGACUGCAACUGACACUGAGGCUCGAAAGUGUGGGUAUCAAACAGGAUUAGAUACCCCUGUAGUC